GAUGAAGAACGUAGCGAAAUGCGAUACUUGGUGUGAAUUGCAGAAUCCCGUGAACCAUCGAGUCUUUGAACGCAAGUUGCGCCCGAAGCCAUCAGGUUGAGGGCACGUCUGCCUGGGCGUCACAUAUCGUUGCCCAAUGCCUAUUGCAGUGCAAUAGGAAUUUCUAGGGCGAAUGAUGGCUUCCCGUGAGCGUUGUUGCCUCGCGGUUGGUUGAAAAUCGAGUCCUUGGUAGGGUGUGCCAUGGUAGAUGGUGGUCGAGUUAGAACGAUACCGAUCAUGUGCAUGCUCCCCAAAAUAUGGCCUCUAUGCCCCACACGCGUCUUUUGACGCUCAUGACGAGACCUCAGGUCAGGCGGGGCUACCCGCUGAAUUUAAGCAUAUCAAUAAGCGGAGGA
rnacentral:misc_RNA from 1 species